AAUCAACGCUGGCGGCGUGCCUAACACAUGCAAGUCGAACGCGAAAGUGGAGCAAUCCAUGAGUAGAGUGGCAAACGGGUGAGUAACACGUGGGUGACCUGCCUUCGAGCGGGGGAUAACGUCCCGAAAGGGACGCUAAUACCGCAUACGAUCUAUGGAUGAAAGCGGGGGAUCGCAAGACCUCGCGCGAUUGGAGCGGCCGAUAUCAGAUUAGGUAGUUGGUGGGGUAAAGGCCCACCAAGCCGACGAUCUGUAGCUGGUCUGAGAGGACGACCAGCCACACUGGGACUGAGACACGACCCUGACUCGUACGGGAGGCAGCAGUGGGGAAUUUUGGACAAUGGGCGAAAGCCUGAUCCAGCCAUGCCGCGUGCAGGAUGAAGGCCUUCGGGUUGUAAACUGCUUUUGUACGGAACGAAAAGGACUGCCCUAAUACGGUGGUCCCAUGACGGUACCGUAAGAAUAAGCACCGGCUAACUACGUGCCAGCAGCCGCCGUAACAC
rnacentral:rRNA from 1 species